ncrna:unclassified sequences RAGATH-8 RNA
AGAAACAAAGCAAGUAGGAAGGACACGGGUGAAGCGAUAGGGCUACACGCAAGUGACAUGGUGGUCAGGCUGCCGGAUAGCAGACAGAGCGUGUGAAGAAUAAACAUGACCCGUCAAAGUAGUUGAAGAAAACAGGAACGGUAGGGCAAGAAAGCAAAGUAUUCAGAACUAUUUGAAGAAAACUGAACAGGCUGAACCAAUCGGCACUUUACCCCUAAACCAAGAAACCGUUAAGUGGAAGAAUCAACCGCACGAGAUGACACAGCACUUUGUUUCA